UACGAAGGGGGCUAGCGUUGUUCGGAUUUACUGGGCGUAAAGCGCACGUAGGCGGAUCGUUAAGUCGGGGGUGAAAUCCUGGAGCUCAACUCCAGAACUGCCUUCGAUACUGGCGAUCUAGAGCCCGGAAGAGGUGAGUGGAACUCCUAGUGUAGAGGUGGAAUUCGUAGAUAUUAGGAAGAACACCAGUGGCGAAGGCGGCUCACUGGUCCGGUACUGACGCUGAGGCGCGACAGCGUGGGGAGCAAACAGG
rnacentral:rRNA from 1 species